GACAGAGGGUGCAAACGUUGUUCGGAAUUACUGGGCGUAAAGCGAGUGUAGGCGGUCUGCUAAGUCGGGUGUGAAAGCCCCGGGCUCAACCCGGGAAGUGCACUCGAAACUGGCAGGCUAGAGUACUGGAGAGGUUGGUGGAAUUCUCGGUGUAGAGGUGAAAUUCGUAGAUAUCGAGAGGAACACCGGUGGCGAAGGCGGCCAACUGGACAGAUACUGACGCUGAGACUCGAAAGCGUGGGGAGCAAACAGGAUUAGAAACCCCCGUAGUCC
rnacentral:rRNA from 1 species